AACGCGAAGAACCUUACCUGGACUUGACAUGCUUUUGACCGCCGUAGAAAUACGGUUUUCUCGCAAGAGACAGAAGCACAGGUGCUGCAUGGCUGUCGUCAGCUCGUGCCGUGAGGUGUUGGGUUAAGUCCCGCAACGAGCGCAACCCUUGUCGUUAGUUGCCAACGCGUAAUGGCGGGCACUCUAGCGAGACUGCCCAGGUUAACUGGGAGGAAGGUGAGGAUGACGUCAAGUCCGCAUGGCCUUUAUGUCCAGGGCUACACACGUGCUACAAUGGUCGGUACAAAAGGGAGCGAAGUCGCGAGAUGGAGCAAAUCCUCAAAGCCGGCCCCAGUUCGGAUUGGAGUCUGCAACUCGACUCCAUGAAGAUGGAAUUGCUAGUAAUGGCGGGUCAGCAACACCGCCGUGAAUCCGUUCCCGGGCCUUGUA
rnacentral:rRNA from 1 species